CACCGCGGUUAUACGAGAGACCCAAGUUGUUAGUCACCGGCGUAAAGCGUGGUUAAAAAUAUACUUCACUAAAGCCGAAAACUUUCAAAGCUGUUAUACGCAUCCGAAAGUAAAAAGACCAAUAACGAAAGUAGCUUUACUUAUUUGAACCCACGAAAGCUACGGCACAAACUGGGAUUAGAUACCCCACUAUGCCUAGCCGUAAACAUUGACAGUAAAAUACAACUACUGUCCGCCCGGGUACUACGAGCAUCAGCUUAAAACCCAAAGGACUUGGCGGUGCUUUAGAUCCACCUAGAGGAGCCUGUUCUAGAACCGAUAACCCCCGUUAAACCUCACCCUUCCUUGUUUCCCCCGCCUAUAUACCACCGUCGUCAGCUUACCCUGUGAAGGCCCUAUAGUAAGCAAAAUUGGCACAGCCCAAAACGUCAGGUCGAGGUGUAGCGUAUGGAAGGGGAAGAAAUGGGCUACAUUCACUUCCUUAGUGAAUACGAACGAUGCAUUGAAACAUACAUCUAAAGGAGGAUUUAGCAGUAAGCAGAAAAUAGAGUGUUCUGCUGAAACUGGCCCUGAAGCGCGCACACACCGCCCGUCACUCUCCCCAAGCUCCCUUAAAUCAAGUAACUAAGCACACACAACUGCAAAGGGGAGGCAAGUCGUAA
rnacentral:rRNA from 1 species